rnacentral:lncRNA from 1 species
AAAAAAAUUUGAAAAAAAACACUCUCAACCUUCCCCCUUUUCUCCAGGCUCCGGCCUAAGGCCCGGUCAUCGACCACCGCAUCGACUACCGAUCGCCGGUGCCGGCGCUACCGUAUACGGUGGUUGAGAAACUAAAAGGUUUCUCUUUUUUUUUCGAUGCAAACCUUGGGCCUCCAAACACUCCGGCAAUGAUGAAAUAGGUAAAAAAUGCCUUUUUUAUUUUUAUAUAUUAUUUCAAAAUAAAAAAUGAAAUAAAACAAAAAUAAAGACGAAAAUGUCACCUUAACACUUUUAUUUUCUAAAUAAGUGUCUUUCCUUCUCCUUUUUUAUUGAUUUCCGAAUCCCUUUUUCCUCCCCCCUUUUUUUUACAAUAUUUCAAUGGCUUUUAUAGCUGAAACAAAACAGAAAAAAUAGGUAUAAAAGGAAAUUAAUUCUUUGCUUCCAUUUUGCUAUUAGUCUCUUUCUUUUCGCUGCUUGUUUCCUUGUCUGUUGCAUUAUAGGUUCAUGGCCAACCUAGAGAUGCGCGGUGGUGUAGCACGUGCGGGAAGAGGCGCGCCUGGGCUACUGUUGCGGCGCGAUGGCUGGAGCUUGCUAGGGUUUUCGAUUUUGUUUCGGUUUUGGGCCAGAUUGUAUUGGGUCUCUAUUUAGUGGGGAUUUGGGUAUGUAAUUUUGGGCUUUUAAAUUGGGUCAAUGUGAUGGACAUUUGGACCUUUAUUUUAUUUAUUUUUUUGUUGGUUUUAUUCAUUUUUGGUGUUUACUGGACCGGGCAAUAAUUGGGUAUUACAAUAGUAAUGGUUGAUUUUGAGUGAAACAUUUGGUAUGAAAUUUAAGGAUGCAUAUUAUGUUUUAA